CUAUCGCAAAGUUAAGUUUUUGAGUUUCGCGGUUGAUUGAUCGGAAGUAUGGAAUUUGAUUUGAUGUAGUGAAUAAGAGCUGACGUUUACUCUUUAAGUUAAAUCGCCAGGUUACUGUUUAUGAAAUGAAGUUAGAAAUUUAUAUGCAGUGAAAAAUUCCUGUUAAGAUGUUUCUGGAGGUUAUUCAUCUUUUGAUGUAGCUUAAAGAAGGUGUGUGGGGUCUCGAAACUCGCCGUGUCCUGUGAUUGUGUUAUAAUAUAUGUAUUGUUUCUUGCAGGAUAAAUGAGAAAAAAGAAAUUUUGCACUUCCCCAGGGUUUUUGUCAUCCAGUAGGGAGACAGGUUUGAAACUCUUCAACUUUCCCCGGUAUUCAUCACAGGCUAUGAUGUGGGCAGGAAGAAUUGGGAUAUCCUGCACUAUUGAUUCUGCUAGAAUGCUGCACUAUAAAUUUUUGUGCAGUAGAAAGUGAUUUCACUACAGCUGAACAGAUUUGCAGUUCCAUGUAGCUCAGAUUCUGGAGCACAAUCACUCCCACAGCCUCCUGAUCAUUACACACCAUUUCAGCCUGAUGAAACGCAACCAUGAGGAGUUAAUUAUGGGCAUGAUCAAGAGAGGUCUGGUUCUGGAUCACUGCAAAUCACCAUGUGAGGAGAACUUCGUACAAGACAAG